UACAUAGGGGGCAAGCGUUAUCCGGAAUUAUUGGGCGUAAAGCGUGCGUAGGCGGCUUAUUAAGUCUGACGUGAAAUUCCACAGCUUAACUGUGGAGGGUCGUUGGAAACUGGUAGGCUUGAGUACAGUAGAGGUAAGUGGAAUUCCAAGUGGAGCGGUGGAAUGCGUAGAUAUUUGGAGGAACACCAGUGGCGAAGGCGGCUUACUGGGCUGGAACUGACGCUGAUGCACGAAAGCGUGGGGAGCAAAC
rnacentral:rRNA from 1 species